UUCCGACCCGCACGAAAGGCGUAACGACUGGCGCACUGUCUCCACAGUAGACUCGGCGAAAUUGUAGUCGUGGUGAAGAUGCCACGUUCCCGCACCAAGACGGAAAGACCCCGUGAACCUUUACUGUAGCUUGGUAUUGGAGCCGGCUAUUACAUGCGUAGGAUAGGUGGGAGGCUUUGAUCCGGUUGUUUCGGCAACCGGGGAGCCGUUGUUGAAAUACCACCCUUGUACUAAUCGUCUCCUAACCCCAUCCCGUGAAUCCGGGUGGGGAACAGUGCUAAGUGGGCAGUUUGACUGGGGCGGUCGCCUCCUAAAGAGUAACGGAGGCGCGCGAAGGUUCUCUCAG
rnacentral:rRNA from 1 species